rnacentral:rRNA from 1 species
ACGAACGCUGGCGGCGUGCUUAACACAUGCAAGUCGAACGGCAAGGCCCUGCUUUUGUGGGGUGCUCGAGUGGCGAACGGGUGAGUAACACGUGAGUAACCUGCCCUUGACUUUGGGAUAACUUCAGGCAACUGGGGCUAAUACCGGAUAGGAGCUCCUGCUGCAUGGUGGGGGUUGGAAAGUUUCGGCGGUUGGGGAUGGACUCGCGGCUUAUCAGCUUGUUGGUGGGGUAGUGGCUUACCAAGGCUUUGACGGGUAGCCGGCCUGAGAGGGUGACCGGCCACAUUGGGACGGAGAUACGGCCCAGACUCCUACGGGAGGCAGCAGUGUGGAAUAUUGCACGAUGGGCGGAAGCCUGAUGCAGCAACGCCGCGUGCGGGAUGACGGCCUUCGGGUUGUAAACCGCUUUCGCCUGUGACGAAGCGUGAGUGACGGUAAUGGGUAAAGAAGCACGGGCUAACUACGUG